rnacentral:rRNA from 1 species
GACAGAGGGUGCAAACGUUGUUCGGAAUUACUGGGCGUAAAGCGCGUGUAGGUGGCCAUGUAGGUCCGCUGUGAAAACUUGAGGCUCAACCUCAAGCUGUCGGUGGAAACCACAUGGCUAGAGUCCGGAAGAGGAGAGUGGAAUUCCUGGUGUAGCGGUGAAAUGCGCAGAUAUCAGGAAGAACACCAAUGGCGAAGGCAGCUCUCUGGGACGGUACUGACACUGAGACGCGAAAGCGUGGGGAGCGAACAGG